CAGUAGCCGCGGUAAUACGUAUGUCACGAGCGUUAUCCGGAUUUAUUGGGCGUAAAGCGCGUCUAGGUGGUUAUAUAAGUCUGAUGUGAAAAUGCAGGGCUCAACUCUGUAUUGCGUUGGAAACUGUAUAACUAGAGUACUGGAGAGGUAAGCGGAACUACAAGUGUAGAGGUGAAAUUCGUAGAUAUCAGUAGGAAUGCCGAUGGGGAAGCCAGCUUACUGGACAGAUACUGACGCUGAAGCGCGAAGGCGUGGGUAGCAAACAGGAUUAGAUACCCCCGUAGUCCCUGUCUCUUAUACA
rnacentral:rRNA from 1 species